rnacentral:rRNA from 1 species
CCUACGGGUGGCAGCAGUGAGGAAUAUUGGUCAAUGGCCGAGAGGCUGAACCAGCCAAGUCGCGUGAGGGAAGAAUGUCCUAUGGAUUGUAAACCUCUUUUGUCAGGGAGCAAAGUCACCCACGUGUGGGUGUUGGAGAGUACCUGAAGAAAAAGCAUCGGCUAACUCCGUGCCAGCAGCCGCGGUAAUACGGAGGAUGCGAGCGUUAUCCGGAUUUAUUGGGUUUAAAGGGUGCGCAGGCGGAGGCACAAGUCAGCGGUAAAAUCGCGGGGCUCAACCCCGCUCCGCCGUUGAAACUGUGUCCCUUGAGUGUGCGAAGGGUAGGCGGAAUGCGUGGUGUAGCGGUGAAAUGCAUAGAUAUCACGCAGAACUCCGAUCGCGAAGGCAGCCUACCGGCGCGCAACUGACGCUCAUGCACGAAAGCGUGGGUAUCGAACAGGAUUAGAUACCCUGGUAGUC